rnacentral:rRNA from 1 species
AUUGAACGCUAGCGGGAUGCCUUACACAUGCAAGUCGAACGGAGUGGCGAACGGGUGAGUAAUGUAUCGGAACGUGCCCAGUAGCGGGGGAUAACUACGCGAAAGCGUAGCUAAUACCGCAUACUAUUGGAGCGGCCGCUAUCGGAUUAGCUAUGUGGGGGGGUAACGGCUCACCAGGGCGACGAUCCGUAGCUGGUUUGGGAGGACGACCAGCCACACUGGGACUGAGCUACGGCCCAGCCUCCUACGGGAGGCAGCAGUGGGGAAUUUGGGAAAAGGGGGGAAACCCUGAUCCAGCCAUCCGGCGUGUGCGAUGAAGGCCUUCGGGUUGUAAAGCACUUUUGGCAUGAAAGCGGUACCUGCAGAAUAAGCACCGGCUAACUACGUGCCAGCCGCCGCGGUAAUUC